rnacentral:misc_RNA from 1 species
UCCCUGCUAUCCGUAAUGUGAAUUGCAGAAUUCAGUGAAUCAUCGAAUCUUUGAACGCACAUUGCGCCCGCCAGCACUCUGGCGGGCAUGCCUGUUCGAGCGUCAUUUCAACCCUCAGAACCCCUUGCGGGAUCUGGCGUUGGGGAUUGGCAUCCAGCCAGCCCCGAAAUCUAGUGGCGGUCCCUCCGCGACCUCCCCUGUGCAGUAGCGAUACCUCGCAGCGGGACAGCGGUCUGACCACGCCGUAAAACCCCCAACUUCUCAAGGUUGACCUCGAAUCAGGUAGGAAUACCCGCUGAACUUAAGC